CCAGUCUGAGUGGGUCUUCAGGGAUAUCUGGGAACCCCCCACACCUCUUUUCUUGUAUUUCCUCUAAGCUCGUGCUAUUUAGCUAAUCCUUUGUUGCCAGAGACAGUUUUGGAAAUGCUGGUCAGCAAUAAAGUAAAGAGUGAAGUCGCUCGUCGUGUCCGACUCUUUGCAACCCCAUGGACUGUAACCUACCAGGCUCCUCCGUCCACGGAAUUUUCCAGGCAGACGCUUUACCAUCUGAGCCACCAGGGAAGUGCGGUCAGCAAUAAAAGUUUGUUAGUUCAGUUACACAUUGUACAGGAGGCAGUGAUUCAAGACCAUCCCCAAGAAAAAGAAAUGCAAAAAGACAAAAUGGUUGUCUGAGGAGGCCUUACAAAUAGCUGUGAAAAGAAGAGAAGCGAGAGGCAAAGGAGAAAAGGAAAGAUAUAAGCAUCUGAAUGAAGAGUUCCAAAGAAUAGCAAGGAGAGAUAAGAAAGCCUUCCUCAGUGAUCAAUGCAAAGAAAUAGAGGAAAACAAUAGAGUGGGAAAGACUAGAGGUCUCUUCAAGAAAAUUAGAGAUACCAAGGGAAAUUUCAUGCAAAGAUGGGCACAAUAAAGGACAGAAAUGGCAUGGACCUAACAGAAGCAGAAGAUAUUAAGAAGAGAUGAUUAGA
ensembl:lncRNA